GUGGAUUAGAUACCCUGGUAGUCCACGCCGUAAACGAUGAUAACUAGCUGUCCGGGCACUUGGUGCUUGGGUGGCGCAGCUAACGCAUUAAGUUAUCCGCCUGGGGAGUACGGUCGCAAGAUUAAAACUCAAAGGAAUUGACGGGGGCCUGCACAAGCGGUGGAGCAUGUGGUUUAAUUCGAAGCAACGCGCAGAACCUUACCAGCCUUUGACAUCCCGCGCUACAACCAGAGAUGGUUGGUUCCCUUCGGGGACGCGGUGACAGGUGCUGCACGGUUGUCGCCAACU
rnacentral:rRNA from 1 species